AUUGAACGCUGGCGGCAGGCCUAACACAUGCAAGUCGAGCGAGCGGCGGACGGGUGAGUACUGUCUGGGAAACUGCCUGAUGGAGGGGGAUAACUACUGGAAACGGUAGCUAAUACCGCAUACCAUCAGAUGUGCCCAGAUGGGAGUAGCUAGUAGGUGGGGUAACGGCUCACCUAGGCUACGAUCCCUAGCUGGUCUGAGAGGCUGACCAGCAACACUGGAACGGAGACACGGUCCAGACGCCUACGGGAGGCAGCAGUGGGGAAUAUUGCACAAUGGGCGAAAGCCUGAUGCAGCCAGGCCGCGUGUGUGAAGAAGGCCUUCGGGUUGUAAAGCACUUUCAGCGGGGAGGCGUUACCCGCAGAAGAAGCACCGGCUAACUCCGUGCCAGCAGCCGCGGUAAUUC
rnacentral:rRNA from 1 species